rnacentral:lncRNA from 1 species
CUAAUUAAAAAAAAAAUAUUACUUUGUUUCCAAAAAAUCAGAUAAUGAUUUUUAAACUUCACUGGUCAAAAUAAGAAAGAAAAAAUGCUAAAAAAAAAGCAUUUUAUAGCAUAAAAUGCUAGGAAAAAAAAGCUUGAAUCAGUAUCUGCCAUAUCCAAAUCAGAUUCCUAACUUUUAUAUAUAAAGUAUCUGUUGGUGUCUGUGAUGUAAUACACACGUUAAUUAUCACUUUUCUUUCUUUGCCAUAGGGUCCUAAGCUGUUGCUGACCAAUGUUCUUUGUAUCUGCCUGUGCUGAACAAAGAUGGCAUCAAUCCCCAGCCCCGUCACCAUGGUUUGUUAUUUCUCCAUGCUAGAGGCUGCCGCAAUACCCAUGGAAGUCGAUGGAAGAUUAUCAAGACUUAGAGGAAUAAUUUAACACAGCUAAACAUCUAAUUUGUCUUCAAAGAAGUUAAUUCUCAUGGAGUGUGGGAAGUGAAAAUUUGGGAGAAAAUACACAUCAAGAAUUGCCCCAGUAACACUGCAAAAUACACAAAGGAAAGAAAAAUGCAAACAUUUUGGAAGACAAAUACCAAUAUCACCCUGCAACACUAGAAGAUCCUUCAAAGACUGCCAGACCAAAGUGGGGGAGAAAAAGGCAACAAUUGGUGUGAGGAAUCAUAGUCCCUCAAAUUAUUUUACAGAAGCAGUCCUCCCAUGGAGUUAACCAGCAGCUGCCCUGAAAUUUGGAGGAGGAUGUUUUACCCAUAACUAGUUAAUCUUGGGAACCAGGAUCCAGUCAUCUUGCAGCCCAGAAGAGGAAUCAGGCCUACAAGAAACCAUGGAAUCCCAGCUUUCAUUGAUUUCUUACUGAUUUUCAAAUGAAAAGAAAGUAAAAAUAUCAGAAUUUUGUGGAGGACACACACUUAAAUCAGCAACAGUGCUGGAGAAAAGCCGUUCCAAUAAGACGUUUGACUUUGUGGGAGGUAAGCAAGGAUCUUUACCUGUUUAGCUGAUGUAUAUAACAUGUUUUAUUAAUAAUAUAGAUAUCUCAACAAUGUGUUCUUUUGCUUUUUAGCAUAUGCUCUUCUUAUUUCUUGUUUCCAUAAAGCAUGGUCUAU